AAGCACGAUUCCUCUUGUUAAAGCGUAGUUUGAAAAAUUCAUUUAUAACAUAAACACAAAGAGCAUUGUAAUGUCACUCCUAAUCCCAGCUGCCUCCACCUGUUCUCUGCCUGUUUGAAAUAAGCAUCCAACAAUGUAAGGAAAUAGCACUUACACUUGAUUACUGCUUGUUUCCAAAGCAUCUUACAACAUGUGUAACCGUUGUGGCAAAUGGCAACACAAGGUCAUGUAUCCCAAGUCUCCCAUCUUGCCUGUCUGCUGGACUGCACUCUUAGCUCUGUUUCAAGAUGCAGACCGUUAGAGAAGUUGAAGGUUAGUUACUGUGCUUUUCCAGAUGCUCUCCCCCAUCCCUCCCCUAAGUCCCAAAGGCCGUGCAGUCUCUCAGCCGCCUGCUAUUCCAGCGAAGCAAUUCUGUUUUGAGGUUGUAUCAGCCAAGGGUGUUAAAGAGAUGGAGAGCUUGGCAGUCUUGCUGGAUCACAAGUUCCUCCUGAAUAUCCAAGUCUCAAUGAUGUCAAAUAAGUAUCAGUUUUUACUAUAUUUUUUUUUUCUUUUCUGUCAGAGGUAGGGUGACACAUGCUUUGUCACUUGCGCUAUGACACUUUGUCAUGGGUUGCAGUGUACCCUGCAGCUCAUAAACUGCGUGCAGGGCCGAAGGCCAGAAAAUGUGUGUGUGUCCCUGGAGAAAGGAAGGGGCGAUAUCCCCCUUUUCAAAAAUUUUACUAAACAAUCAAAAUCUUUUCAGCCAGAUCGUAAAUUCUGAAUUGCCUCUGCGUACGGCCACCAGACGGAGCAGGAUCUGUGCUUCCCCAUCCCAUUCCUCCCGUGGGCAGAGUCUCUCACCACGUCCCAUCUCGUGCAAUGUGGUACUUCUCUCCUCGCCAAGCUCUCCGGUGCAUUCAAGGUGACAUCCUGUGAUGAAGAAGUCCAGACCACAGAGGAGCUUGGAUGGAAAACAGCUGAAUUUCAGCUCCUGCAACUAAUGACUGUCAACACUGCCUGGCUUUAUUCCACUUGGGAAUUACCAGCAGGGAAAUCUGCUGUCCAUUAAAGAGCCACUGUCAAGAUCAAGAUUCAUGGUUCCCCCCGUGGCUGCACAGGAAAACAUUGUAUUUUUCGUCACCUGAUAAAGCUCAUUAAAAUGUUGUCUACA